ACGCUCGACACCUACGGGGGGCAGCAGUGGGGAAUAUUGCACAAUGGGGGAAACCCUGAUGCAGCGACGCCGCGUGGGUGAAGAAGUAUUUCGGUAUGUAAAGCCCUNUCAGCAGGGAAGAAGAUGACAGUACCUGACUAAGAAGCCCCGGCUAACUACGUGCCUGCAGCCGCGGUAAUCUGAGCGGGCUGGCAAGGC
rnacentral:rRNA from 1 species